GGACAAGGAGGGUGUUUGAAGUUGGGGAACUGCAGGAGCAAAGACCGCAGGCAGGAAUUCUGGGUCUAGUGACCACCUGGCUUGGUUCCUGAAGAGCUGGGCACUCAGGGGACCUGAUGUGCUACUUGAGCAUGGCAGGGCGGCCUCCAGCCCCUAAGCUUCUCCCUCGUCCGCCACGCAGAGGCAGAGGCCAGGGGUCAUCCCAGGGAGAGCCAGAGGCCGCCUGCGGGCCACCAGCCAAGAGGAACAGCUGUUUUCAAUGAGUCGCUUGGCCCUGAGGCCAAGACUGGAAAAGUCCGAGUCAGCAGAAGCUGCCAGCCCCGUCUUGCUAAGGGGCCAACCCGGGGGACCCAGCAGCCCACCCUGCACUGCCCCACAGGAGCCUGUCCACCCCUCCGUUCCAGCCAGACGCCCAUGGACUCAAGGCCGGGCGGAACGCAGCCCCAGCUCCCCGGCUCAGCUCUGCCUCGUCCUGUGUGCACAGAGUUUCCAGCUCCGGCAGGAGGGCUUCCUCCACCAUUCAUCUCCAAAUGCUCUUCUCUCUGCUCAGAAUGCUUGUAGAUAUUGGUAUAGCAAACUGGCAGGGAAUGGGCGGAGGUGGGACAGUCACCUCCACCUACUAAACCAAGAGGAGGGGAGCGAGGUGCAGGGGAGGCGGGAGGGAGGAACCUGGGUAAAUGGCGACUCCUCCCACUCCUCUGUGAUCUCAUCCCCUGCUGGCUUUUGUCUUCCUGUAUUAAAACAUCACAAUCAUUCUCGGCCUGUCCUUUCCCAGGGCCCAUCUUGCACGACGCCACCCAGCGCUGGUUGAGAAAACCAGCGGCAGCAACCCCCGCAUGCUGCGGCGGGGCUCGGGGCCUCCCCUUCCCCGCAGGUGCAGCCCAGGCCCGCACGCCCUCGGCCAAGCUCCGCACACCGGGUCUUCGUGGGCACCGCCCCAGAGCCGUCCCAGCCCCCAGCCCGAAGCCAAAAUAGCCUCAGAACCACUUCCUUCCCCGUGGGGGGAAUUGCACAAGAGGGCCGGCUCCGGGGCGGCAGGACGUGGCUUUCUGGGCUGGCACAACCCAACCCCAUUGAUCCGGCCGCGAAGGGUGCGAUUCAGGACUCCGACCUCAGAGCUAGCGGAGGAUAGCGGUCCUCCCAGGACAACCGCCACUCCUCACUGAGGCCCAUCCCUGAGGCUUCUGCCGAGCUACACAUUUCAUGUCUGUGGAACAGAGUUGUGAGCAUCUUACUUGAUAAACACCGCCAGGAGAGCUAUGCGGGGACCCAUCCCCAGAGCCCCGCUUGGGUCCCCACACACCGUCCAGUUUCAUUCAAGUUGGCUAACUGUAGCUCUGCAGAUGUUCAGCUGUGCUGCAGAAAGCCCAGAGAGAGGAAGAAAACGAGCCAAGCAGAAAAAGUUCGGUGGACUGAGUGAGUGGCCAUGGGAGAUGGGAACUCAGUCUGACCAAGUCUAAGCCGAAGUGCUUUACAGACCUUACCAAAAGGCCAAGGGCGUGGAGAAAGAGAGACAGUUAAAAAAAUACUUCUCAAAUAAAAUGUUUAAAUGAAUAAAAAAGUGGAAAG
ensembl:lncRNA